UCAUGGACGGGAAGGCGACUGACGAACACCCUUACCCCGAGAAAUGGCUCGACUACGAUGUCCCGUUAAAGAGGUCACGCUGGGGAUGAAAAGGUUGUCAGAUUCGGAUGUAUCGAUGACCGCCAGUGAUGCAGUGGACAGCUGUGAGGGUGAUCAGAUCCACAUGCCCCUGAUCUUGCUGAAAGUCACCAGAAGUUACCUGCUGUGAUAGUUAUUUUUUUAUGAACCUUUACAAAGUCACCAGAAGUUACCUGCUGUAAUAGUUAUUAUGAACCUUUACAGUGUCACCUGACAUUACCUGCUGUAAAUAGUUUUUAUUUAUUUAUCUUAAUUUGAUCUUUUUUUCAUCUUUAAUCUCUGAUUUGAAGGAAUAACUCAUGUCAAGUUUGUAAGUUAAUUCCAUCUUGGUUUAUUACAUAUGGAAAUUAAAUGAAGUUUU